ACAUCAGGCAAUCGCUGGUCGUAAGGCUAGAGGAAAGUCCAUGCUCGCACCAUCUGUGAUGAUGGUAGUGAUUAUGCUGAAUGAAAAAAUAAAUUCAGGCAGGUAAAACUGACGGCAGAGUUAAUCCUAAGGCUUAGGCUAUGGAAGCGCUCUUGAAAGUGCCACAGUGACGUAGUCUCAUUGGAAACAUUGAGAGUGGAACGCGGUAAACCCCAUAAGCGAGAAACCCAAAUAUGGUAGGGGAACUUUGAGGGCCGAAUAGAAGGCUCAAAGAGACAGCAAUGUAGAUAAAUGAUUGCCACUGGAAACAGGACAGAACAUGGCUUAUACGA
rnacentral:RNase_P_RNA from 1 species